rnacentral:rRNA from 1 species
UUCGGGCUGAGUACAGCGGCGGACGGGUGAGUAACGCGUAGGAAUCUACCUGGUAGUGGGGGACAACAUGGGGAAACUCAUGCUAAUACCGCAUACGCCCUAUGGGGGAAAGCGGGGGACCUUCGGGCCUCGCGCUAUCAGAUGAGCCUGCGUAGGAUUAGCUUGUUGGUGAGGUAAAGGCUCACCAAGGCGACGAUCCUUAGCUGGUCUGAGAGGAUGAUCAGCCACACUGGGACUGAGACACGGCCCAGACUCCUACGGGAGGCAGCAGUGGGGAAUAUUGCGCAAUGGGCGAAAGCCUGACGCAGCCAUGCCGCGUGUGUGAAGAAGGCCUUCGGGUUGUAAAACACUUUCAAUUGGGAAGAAAGGUUGCGUGUUAAUAGCACGUAGCUGUGACGUUACCUUUAGAAGAAGCACCGGCUAACUCCGUGCCAGCAGCCGCGGUAAUACGGAGGGUGCGAGCGUUAAUCGGAAUUACUGGGCGUAAAGCGCGCGUAGGCGGUUUGUUAAGUCGGAUGUGAAAGCCCUGGGCUCAACCUGGGAACUGCAUUCGAUACUGGCCGACUAGAGUACGAGAGAGGGAGGUAGAAUUCCACGUGUAGCGGUGAAAUGCGUAGAUAUGUGGAGGAAUACCGGUGGCGAAGGCGGCCUCCUGGCUCGAUACUGACGCUGAGGUGCGAAAGCGUGGGUAGCAAACAGGAUUAGAUACCCUGGUAGUCCACGCCGUAACGAUGUCUACUAGCCGUUGGGAGACUUGAUUUCUUAGUGCGCAGCUAACGCACUAAGUAGACCGCCUGGGGA